rnacentral:misc_RNA from 1 species
UACGUGAGCCCCAAGCGUUAUCCGAAAUCACUGGGCGUAAAGGGUGCGUAGGCGGUUGCAUUAGUCUUCUGUUAAAACCCUCGGCUUAACCGAGGAUACGCAGGGGAAACGGUGCGACUGGAGGAUGUCAGAGGUCUGCGGAACUCACGGUGUAGGGGUGGAAUCCGUUGAUAUCGUGGGGAACACCAAAAGCGAAGGCAGCAGACUGGGGCAUUCCUGACGCUGAGGCACGAAAGCGUGGGUAGCGAAGAGG